GCUCUUCAAGACGAAUGUAAUCAUACAUAAGACCUUCAAACGGCCCCACCGCUUUAGACUGACGUAGAUAGAUUGUGUUGGUCCCGGUUCUUAGUAACCUUCCAGGUACAUCAAUGCUAUAAAGAUGGUAGGCUCCAUGGAUUCCAUGUCUUGCUAUAGCAUUAUCUCUUCCGACACCCGCAGAUAACAAUGGCCGAGAGUAUUCGUUGUUGAACCGUACUUUUAAGUUAGCCCGUGCAGCCGAAGCUAAAGCUAUUUGCAAUGUGUAGCUACCUCGCCAGUUCACAUAUGGAAGUUCAAAAACAAUCUGCCAUGUCGCUGGUACAUAGGUCGAACCACCAAUGUUCCUGCAGUAAAAAGAAUUGAAUAUUAAUUUCGAAAUACUUGAAAUUCUAUAAAACUUUUUUGUUUAUAUGAUUUGGUUUUACCUUGUGACGUGAGCGUAGAACCAGUCUUGACUAUAGUUACUAACUCCAACUGUGUAGACGAGAUCAUGGUUUGGAUAUAACUCCGUGUAACGUUGCCAUAACCCAUACUGCCUAAACCUGUGGAGCAAACAGCAAAACCGGAAUCAUUAGUACCAAAAACCGGUUUCGGAACAGUGUUAACUGGGAUCAUGACGGUUAAAGACUUACUUGUCAGUGUGGUUUAAGUAUAACGGGUUCAUUGUAUUCUCGUAUGGUUCCGGUACAAAGUAUUCUCUGGCGGUUCGGUCCGGUACACCAAUCUCCCAUAACGUUGGACCAUUCCUAGGAGGCUGGAACACAACUCUAUCAAGACUUAUCUCUGAACCUGCAGCUACGUUAACUAGGUUUUGGUAUUUGAAGUCUCCGAUAAAACCAUGAACCCAUCCGUAUAGAUUAUACGUUCCCGGUCUAACGUUAUCAAUGGUGAAAUAGCCGGUUUCGUUGGUCUGUGUCCAAAAUUGGUAUCCCUGCAUAAACACAAAAUAAUAUUUAACGAUCAACGCAUGUAAUUUAAUGAUUUUGUUAAACUAAAGUUAAAUCAAAAUUAAAGAAAAGACGUCAAAGUGUAACAAUGAUAGACCUUAGUAUUUGUUUGCCAUGAACCAGCUUCUCCUGGCGGUGCUAAACCGAUGUAUGCAUAUCCUGCCGGAGCCAAGAACCUUGAAAACGUUUCCCAAGAUUUUAAACAUUAUAAAAAGUCAAAAGUAAAUAUUUAUUAAUAUUAUUUUGGACUUGUGUAUGUAAAUAUACCUGUCGUUGACAAAGAGUCGACCGGUAAUGGUUCCUCUUUCUUGACGAGUAGGAAAGUCAGAGGACGCUACAAAACCGUACGGCCAUGCUUCAACUUCUUGUUCGGUCUGAAGAUUAAGAAAACGAGAUUAACGUCUCUUCUUUAAUAAGUUACGUAUUAAAAUAAAGAUUAUAACAAAACUAUAGUAAACCUGUCGUUUAGCAUCUUCCCAUAACAAAUGUUGUAGAUUAUUGCGGGUGGAAUCAGAGUUUAAGUAGAUGAAUACAGGUCCCAAGACCUUUUUCCACGCUUCACCAGUUUUGUACCUUGUCUCCAUGUCCGGACCAACAUAAUGCUGGCUUAUAAAGGUCUGCAUUAUUACAAGAUUAAAAACUAUUAUUUUCUAAUUAAUUUUGAAAAUUAAGAUUAAUUAGUUUUGGAUCAAUCCUUACCGUGAGGGUCGUGGGACCGACGUGAGACGUGAGCUCCUGUUUGACCGGUCCACCAGAGCGGUAUUCACCGCUCGGUGAGAUGAGCCAGAAACCAACAUUGGACUUGGUCGAUAUCCAACCAUGCACCUUGUUGUCCUUGACCUCACAUGAGUACUGGUAUUUAUCAUCCACCUAAUAUUAUUCAAUUUAAAUGUUCAAUACUCGAGUUAAGUUUAAAGAUUUCUAAUCCUUGUCUAUCAUAUAUUCAGUUUUAGAGCUUUUUAAUUGUAUAUAAAAACUAAUUACCUGGUUUUUGAACAUAUGGUUGUGAGGAUUAGUCAAUUUGACAGCCUCUUUGUAAGCAAGGGGCUUGGCACGGCCACUGUGGAUGUCACGGUCAUCGUCUGUUGGCAUUUGUCUUUGCCGAUUAUCUGCCACCACCAUGUAAUGGAAUCUACAAACAUAUUUACACCAAUUUUUAAUAAACUUUAUUAUUCAAACAAAUAACAUGAAUAUCAUCGAUUCUCUUAUAAAGAAAACAUAUAAAAAUACCUAUCAGGGUUGAGUUUGAAUGCGACUCGAAUUAGACCCAUCUCCACUUCUGGCCAUUCGGGUUGUCUCUCAAAAAUUCCAUAAGUGUAGAUUCCUGAAGUAUUCGUACGUAUAAUAUACCUCUUGUCUACGUUUAAUGGAAUAUGAUCAGAACCACCAUUCCAUGUUCGGGAGAAAGAAAUCUCCACUUGUUCUUCGUUUUGAGUUAUGAUUCUAAAGUUGGUUCCUUCGAUUCUGUUGAACAAAGAUAAAAUAGCUUCGUAAAUUACAAAAAGGCUAUAUUAUUCUUGAAAAUAAAUUAUCAAACCAAUUGAUACAUGCUGUACAAAUGUGAACAUGUUCAACUGACAAUUCUAGACAAAUUAUUAAAUUAAAUAGUUAAUUACCUAUCCAGCUUUGGGAGACUGUUGUUUUCUGUUUGCCAUGUUAUGUCCCAGUACCUGAUAAACAUUACAGCAGAAUUAAGUAAGCAGGACAAUUUUCAUAUAUUAUUUGAUUAUUACAAUAUAAAAUUGCUGAAAUUAUUUACCCUCGAGCUCGGAGAUAUGGAUUAAGAACAUUGCCGAUUUCAUUGUAUUUGAUCCCAGUUAUUAAUCCUUUAGGAUUCGAGAAAGUCACUCUCACAAUUCCAUUGUCCACUAUCACCUGAAAGAAAUAAGUAAUUUAUAUUAGUUAUUUUUUCAGCUCUUAAUGUAUAUAUGCAUGAUAUUUUCUACUAUUAUUGAUUGAAGACAUGGUGUACAUACCUCUUUGUUUCUUAUCUGCUGCACUGUUGGAGCUCUUGCAUUUGUUCCCUUUAAGUUUCUGUAGAAGUUCAAUAAUAACAAAUAAAUAACGUUAAUGAACUGAAUUGAAAACGCUCAGUACACAUACUUACAAUUAAUUGAGUUAAUUAUAACGCAUUGAAGGUUUGUUUCGAAUGUUAGCUAGACACAAAUAAAGAACUGAAUAACCUUCAAGGACCUUUUGGUUAAUCAAAUUUUCUAUGUCAAAGUUUAUAAUAUCUUCAAACUCAUGCGUGCUAAAACAAACGUAAUAUGCAUGAGAUUUGAGAAACAUGUAUACUUUGUGCGCAUACAUAUAUGUGUAUGUGUAUGCUUGACCGUAACGUAACAUAUCACGAAGAUCAAAAGAUAAACUGACCUUGUCGGCUCAGAAAAAGCUAUCGGAAGAAGAAGCAACAGAAGGAAACAUAUCAUCCACGAAGCUAUCGUCUUCUGCGAAAUCAUCUUCUUUUUCCAAAUCUCAAGAUCGAAUUUAAUGUAAGAAUAAUAUGUUUGCGGAGACAUCCAUAUUUAUAUGUGUGGUUUAUUUUCUUGUUAAACAAAGUCCAAGACUAAACGGGAAUAGGUGCACCAAAACCUAACUAGGAUCGGAGUUACUUUGACUUAUGACAUUAGAGUUCUAAUAUGACUCGGUGUCAUAUAAGAACACGGAAAAGAUUUGAGUUUCCUGUUUUUGAUUGUCCUUUUUAUUUCCUUAUUUUUUCUCAUAAUACAUAAUUUAUUUAAUGGAAAACCUUCCUGAUGAAAAUUAAAUUAGUAAAGAGUUGUUGUAUUGCAUUCAAAAUUAAAUUAUUGUGAAGUUUUGUAUUACAUUCACGAUGAACGUAACAAGUUGUUGUAACAUUGGAUUUUAUUGCAUGUUUUAAUUUUGUUACAAAAGAUAUUUAAAAUUUUGUUUUUUAAUAUUUCAUGUAUAUUAAAGCUGUUUAAAGCUGUUUCAUGUAGAUUAAAGCUGUUUUCUCCAUGAAAGAGAUACAGAGGAAGAAGAAGAGAAGAUAGAAACAGAGCCUGAGAAGUUAUGUUAUUGGCCCUAGUUUUUUAAUAUAAUGGGCUUUUAGUUCAAACCCUGAGAAUUGCUCUAUUCAUGCUUUAAUCUGUUCCGGUUUGUAAGAACCAAAAUAUAAACUUGAAUACUUAUUACAAAUCCAAAUCAGUUUCAUAAAUAGUAUCUUAAAAGAAACAUCUCAAAAUCAGUAAAUCUUUAAAAGCACCUCCAUCAGUAAGAAACAAUGUAAGUUCCUAAAAUUAAAAAAAAAUAUUAAUAUUAUAAUUAUUUUUUUAUUUUUUAUCUUCUUAAAACCAAUUAAAUCAUUUUUCCUUCUUAAUAGAUUGACAAGUGUCCUUUGAGUAUACUAAUAGUUUCUUAAAACCUAUAAGUUUAAGAAUCUUACACACUUUCUCUCUUCUAAUUUUUUUUUUUAUUAAAAUCUUUAGGACUAUGCAAGAUAUAAUCUCCUAACAAUUGUAUAAAAGAAAUCAAUGAAAAAAAAUCAAAUAUUAUAUAAUGUCUAGUAUGAAUCUAAGCUGUAGAAGGCUCUUCAAGACGAAUGUAAUCAUACAUAAGACCUUCAAACGGCCCCACCGCUUUAGACUGACGUAGAUAGAUUGUGUUGGUCCCGGUUCUUAGUAACCUUCCAGGUACAUCAAUGCUAUAAAGAUGGUAGGCUCCAUGGAUUCCAUGUCUUGCUAUAGCAUUAUCUCUUCCGACACCCGCAGAUAACAAUGGCCGAGAGUAUUCGUUGUUGAACCGUACUUUUAAGUUAGCCCGUGCAGCCGAAGCUAAAGC
rnacentral:lncRNA from 1 species